rnacentral:rRNA from 1 species
GACGAACGCUGGCGGCGUGCUUAACACAUGCCAGUCGAACGGAAAGGCCCUGCUUUUGUGGGGUGCUCGAGUGGCGAACGGGUGAGUAACACGUGAGUAACCUGCCCUUGACUUUGGGAUAACUUCAGGAAACUGGGGCUAAUACCGGAUAGGAGCUCCUGCUGCAUGGUGGGGGUUGGAAAGUUUCGGCGGUUGGGGAUGGACUCGCGGCUUAUCAGCUUGUUGGUGGGGUAGUGGCUUACCAAGGCUUUGACGGGUAGCCGGCCUGAGAGGGUGACCGGCAACAUUGGGACUGAGAUACGGCCCAGACUCCUACGGGAGGCAGCAGUGGGGAAUAUUGCACAAUGGGCGGAAGCCUGAUGCAGCAACGCAGCGUGCGGGAUGACGGCCUUCGGGUUGUAAACCGCUUUCGCCUGUGACGAAGCGUGAGUGACGGUAAUGGGUAAAGAAGCACCGGCUAACUACGUG